CGGACGCCAGGGAUCUACUUUUCCUCUUUAAGGGUUGGGCUGAAGCUGCAGCCUGAGUCCUGGAGAGUCUCUUGGCUCCGAAGAGGUCCCAGCUUAGUGGCAGCUGAAUCCUCUUUCAAGACAGCAAGUAAUCCUGCGAGUUCCACCAGACAUAUAUCCCAGAGGGGGCAAGUGUUCUCUAUGAUGUCACCUGGCAGCAAAGUGAUGAGUCAGGGAAAUUACCCCGGCUGCUGACUAGCUUGUCUCUGCUCAGCUCCAAUGGGCCUGGAUUCUUCACACCACACUCCAUGUACCUUCAUAGGAUUCAUAAUCUCUCUGAACAAGUAAAUAUGGACACCGUCGGUUCCAGACUCAGUGAUCCUUGUUUCAAACACAUGUUGAUGUCGACAGACAAAGGCAGAGAGUGUAAAAGCACAGAGACCACUAGAUGUUUUGUAAGACCGUUUCACGCCAAAUAGUAGCUGGGUGUGGUGGCACUUGGAGGCAGAGACAGGUCCUGUUGCUUUCAAGGCAAGAGCUUUAAUGAAGGAAUUCUCCAGCCAGCUCCAGAACUUGCUAUUUCCACUUCAUUGAAACAUUCCCUCCUGAAAGACAAAGAGAGAUGGAGAGGACCCUGGAAACUGAGAAAGCCUGCAGGGCUCCUGAGGCUCAUUAAGCUGGGAAAAUGAGGAUAUUGACAAGACCCCUCCCCAAAAUUAAGCAAACAGUAAACAGUUGCUGGUGGACAGGAGACUCUGUGAUUGAACAACUUUCAAGUUGGGCAAGUAUACAGUUUUCCUAAGUUGUUGUCGAUGCUGGGGUGGACUGUUCAGGGACACAGCUGUCUUUGAGUCACUAUGUUCCUGUAAGUGACCUCAGGAAGCUCACUAGCCCACCAAGAUACACUUGGGUGGAAUGGUCUCUUUAUUCAGUCGACAGUGUCCUACUGCGGAGAAGAUCUGUUCACGUCUCUGCAGGAAAAGCUGUAUAAUAAGGUUCUACACAGGAACUACAGUUUCAAGGACCUCAGAAGACAUCCCACCCAAACCCUCUGCUUUGCGGAUCACAGGACAUUUUUUUUUUAAUGACCAAAUAAAAAUUGCAUGUUUAUCCUAUUCAA